UAUACAUGCAGUAGAACGCUGAAGAGAGGAGCUUGCUCUUCUUGGAUGAGUUGCGAACGGGUGAGUAACGCGUAGGUAACCUGCCUUGUAGCGGGGGAUAACUAUUGGAAACGAUAGCUAAUACCGCAUAACAAUGGAUGACACAUGUCAUUUAUUUGAAAGGGGCAAUUGCUCCACUACAAGAUGGACCUGCGUUGUAUUAGCUAGUAGGUGAGGUAAUGGCUCACCUAGGCGACGAUACAUAGCCGACCUGAGAGGGUGAUCGGCCACACUGGGACUGAGACACGGCCCAGACUCCUACGGGAGGCAGCAGUAGGGAAUCUUCGGCAAUGGGGGCAACCCUGACCGAGCAACGCCGCGUGAGUGAAGAAGGUUUUCGGAUCGUAAAGCUCUGUUGUAAGUCAAGAACGGGUGUGAGAGUGGAAAGUUCACACUGUGACGGUAGCUUACCAGAAAGGGACGGCUAACUACGUGCCAGCAGCCGCGGUAAUACGUAGGUCCCGAGCGUUGUCCGGAUUUAUUGGGCGUAAAGCGAGCGCAGGCGGUUUGAUAAGUCUGAAGUUAAAGGCUGUGGCUCAACCAUAGUUCGCUUUGGAAACUGUCAAACUUGAGUGCAGAAGGGGAGAGUGGAAUUCCCAUGUGUAGCGGUGAAAUGCGUAGAUAUAUGGAGGAACACCGGUGGCGAAAGCGGCUCUCUGGUCUGUAACUGACGCUGAGGCUCGAAAGCGUGGGGAGCGAACAGGAUUAGAUACCCUGGUAGUCCACGCCGUAAACGAUGAGUGCUAGGUGUUGGAUCCUUUCCGGGAUUCAGUGCCGCAGCUAACGCAUUAAGCACUCCGCCUGGGGAGUACGACCGCAAGGUUGAAACUCAAAGGAAUUGACGGGGGCCCGCACAAGCGGUGGAGCAUGUGGUUUAAUUCGAAGCAACGCGAAGAACCUUACCAGGUCUUGACAUCCCGAUGCUAUUUCUAGAGAUAGAAAGUUACUUCGGUACAUCGGUGACAGGUGGUGCAUGGUUGUCGUCAGCUCGUGUCGUGAGAUGUUGGGUUAAGUCCCGCAACGAGCGCAACCCCUAUUGUUAGUUGCCAUCAUUCAGUUGGGCACUCUAGCGAGACUGCCGGUAAUAAACCGGAGGAAGGUGGGGAUGACGUCAAAUCAUCAUGCCCCUUAUGACCUGGGCUACACACGUGCUACAAUGGUUGGUACAACGAGUUGCGAGUCGGUGACGGCGAGCUAAUCUCUUAAAGCCAAUCUCAGUUCGGAUUGUAGGCUGCAACUCGCCUACAUGAAGUCGGAAUCGCUAGUAAUCGCGGAUCAGCACGCCGCGGUGAAUACGUUCCCGGGCCUUGUACACACCGCCCGUCACACCACGAGAGUUUGUAACACCC
rnacentral:rRNA from 1 species